rnacentral:rRNA from 1 species
UCGGGAAUUUUGGGCAAUGGGCGAAAGCCUGACCCAGCAACGCCGCGUGAAGGAUGAAGUAUUUCGGUAUGUAAACUUCGAAAGAAUAGGAAGAAUAAAUGACGGUACUAUUUAUAAGGUCCGGCUAACUACGUGCCAGCAGCCGCGGUAAUACGUAGGGACCAAGCGUUGUUCGGAUUUACUGGGCGUAAAGGGCGCGUAGGCGGCGUGGUAAGUCAUCUGUGAAAUCUCCGAGCUUAACUCGGAACGGUCAGAUGAUACUGCUGUGCUAGAGUACAGAAGGGGCAAUCGGAAUUCUUGGUGUAGCGGUGAAAUGCGUAGAUAUCAAGAGGAACACCUGAGGUGAAGACGGGUUGCUGGGCUGAUACUGACGCUGAGGCGCGAAAGCUAGGGUAGCAAACGGGAUUAGAUACCCCAGUAGUCCCUGAGCGGGCUGGCAAGGCGCAU